rnacentral:rRNA from 1 species
UACGUAGGGCGCAAGCGUUGUCCGGAAUUAUUGGGCGUAAAGAGCUCGUAGGCGGCCUGUUGCGUCCGCUGUGAAAUCCCGGGGCUUAACCCCGGGCUUGCAGUGGAUACGGGCUGGCUGGAGGCAGGCAGGGGAGAACGGAAUUCCCGGUGUAGCGGUGAAAUGCGCAGAUAUCGGGAGGAACACCGGUGGCGAAGGCGGUUCUCUGGGUCAGUACUGACGCUGAGGAGAAGACGUGGGGAGCGAACAGG